rnacentral:rRNA from 1 species
UUCGAUCCCUGGCUCAGAUUGAACGCUGGCGGGAUGCUUUACACAUGCAAGUCGAACGGCAGCACGGACUUCGGUCUGGUGGCGAGUGGCGAACGGGUGAGUAAUGUAUCCGGAACGUGCCUAGUAGCGGGGGAUAACUACGCGAAAGCGUAGCUAAUACCGCAUACGCCCUUCGGGGGAAAGCGGGGGACCUUCGGGCCUCGCACUAGUAAACGGCCGAUAUCGGAUUAGCUAGUUGGUGGGAGUAACAGCUCACCAAGGCGACGAUCGUAGCUGGUUUAAAGAGAGGACUGACCAGCCACACUGGGACUGAGACACGGCCCAGACUCCUACAGGAGGCAGCAGUGGGGAAUUUUGGACAAUGAAACCUGAUCCAGCCAUCCGCGUGUGCGAUGAAGGCCUUCCGGGUUGUAAAAAGCACUUUUGGCAGGAAAACGGCACAGGAUAAUACCGUACCAGCGGCAGUACCUGCGAAUAGCACCGGCUAACUACGUGCCAGCAACCGCGGUAAUACCGUAGUGCAAAGCGUUAAUCGGAAUUACUGGGCGUAAAGCGUGCGCAGGCGGUUCCGGAAAAGAAGAUGUGAAAUCCCGGAAACAACUGGAACUGCAUUUUUAACUACCGAGCUAGAGUGUCAGAGGAGGUGGAAUUCCGCGUGUAGCAGUGAAAUGCGUAGAUAUGCGGAGGAACACCGAUGGCGAAGGCAGCCUCCCUGGGAUAACACUGACGCUCAUGCACAGCGUGGGGAGCAAACAGAGUUAGAUACCCUGGUGAUCCACGCCCUAAACGAUGUCAACUAGCUGUUGGGGCCUUCGGGCCUUGGUAGCGCAGCUAACGCGCGUGAAGUUGACCGCCUGCGGGAAGUACGGUCGCAAGAUUAAAACUCAAAGGAAUUGACGGGGACCCUUGCAAGCGGUGGAUGAUGUGGAUUAAUUCGAUGCAACGCGAAAAACCUUACCUACCCUUGACAUGUCUGGAAUCCCGAAGAGAUUUGGGAGUGCUCGCAAGAGAACCGGAACACAGGUGCUGCAUGGCUGUCGUCAGCUCGGUGUCGUGAGAUGUUGGGUUAAGUCCCGCAACGAGCGCAACCCUUGUCAUUAGUUGCUACGAAAGGGCACUCUAAUGAGACUGCCGGUGACAAACCGGAGGAAGGUGGGGAUGACGUCAAGUCCUCAUGGCCCUUAUGGGUAGGGGCUUUACGUCUUACAAUGGUCGGGACAGAGGGUCGCCAACCCGCGAAGGGGAGCCAAUCCCGAAACCCGAUCGUAGUCCGGAUCGCAGUCUGCAGCACAAACUGCGUGAAGUCGGAAUCGCUAGUAAUCGCGGACGGAUCAACAUAUCGCGGUGAAUACGUUCCCGGGUCUUGUACACACCGCCCGUCACACCGUAAGAAUUGGGUUUUACCAGAAGUAGUUAGCCUAACCGUAAGGAGGGCGGUGCAGUAGGGAUUUCAUGACUGGAAGGUGAAGUCGUAACAAGGUAA